CUAGCUAGAAGGGCGAGGCAGACCCGUGAAGGGGCGGGAGGUUCAGACGCCUCUGCCCGCAGGACUUGAGACUCCUGAGUAGCAGCGGGCAGCUGCCAGUAGGUCGGCAAUGCCUGAGGCUAGGGAAUCCCCGGGAGAGCCCUGAGCGCCACCUGCACCGCCUAGGAAGGACUACCAGAAGUUAGCCCCAGGGGUUCAGAGAAGCUCCCUUCUCUACAACAAUGGCUGGUGAUUCUAGGAACGCUACAAACAAAGACAUGGAGAUAGGAGUCACUUCCCAGGACCACAAGAAGAUUCCCAAGCAGGCACGGGAAUACAUCCCUAUCGCCACCGACCGCACUCGCCUGCUGGCAGAAGGCAAGAAGCCCCGCCAGCGCUACAUGGAGAAGAGUGGCAAGUGCAAUGUGCACCACGGUAAUGUUCAGGAGACCUACCGCUACCUAAGUGACCUCUUCACCACCCUGGUGGACCUCAAAUGGCGCUUCAACCUUCUGGUCUUCACCAUGGUCUACACCAUCACGUGGCUGUUCUUCGGCUUCAUUUGGUGGCUCAUUGCUUACAUCCGAGGUGAUCUGGACCAUGUGGGUGACCAAGAGUGGAUCCCUUGUGUUGAAAACCUCAGUGGGUUCGUGUCUGCCUUCCUGUUCUCCAUUGAGACAGAAACAACCAUUGGGUAUGGCUUCCGCGUCAUCACUGAGAAGUGCCCGGAGGGGAUCAUACUCCUUCUGGUGCAGGCCAUUCUGGGCUCUAUCGUUAAUGCCUUCAUGGUGGGUUGCAUGUUUGUGAAGAUCAGCCAGCCAAAGAAGAGAGCAGAGACCCUCAUGUUUUCCAACAAUGCCGUUAUCUCCAUGCGGGAUGAGAAGCUGUGUCUCAUGUUCCGGGUAGGUGACCUCCGAAACUCCCACAUCGUGGAGGCCUCCAUCCGCGCCAAGCUUAUCAAAUCCCGGCAGACCAAAGAAGGGGAAUUCAUCCCCUUGAACCAGACCGACAUUAAUGUGGGCUUUGACACUGGGGACGACCGUCUCUUCCUGGUGUCCCCGCUCAUCAUCUCCCAUGAGAUCAAUGAGAAGAGCCCUUUCUGGGAGAUGUCGCGUGCCCAGCUGGAACAGGAAGAAUUUGAGGUCGUGGUCAUCCUAGAGGGAAUGGUGGAAGCAACAGCCUAGCAGGAGAAGGACGUCUGAACAUGGUGCAGAGACCUGCUAGCUUCAAGUCACAUCCUGAGCUGGAUGGUUUUAUGUUAACUUGACACAAACUGGAAUCAUUUGGGAAGAGGGAACCUCAACUGAGAAAAUGCCCCUACCCGACUGGCCUGUCAGCAAGUCUGAGGGUCUAUCAGUCAACCCAGAAUUCAUUGAUUCAGCGAGACUGAGCCAGUUCUGGGAUCCUCGUACCUCUUUCUACCUCCCUAGCACUAGAAUAGAGACUCAUGGCAUCAUGUCCUGCUGCGUACGUGGGCUGGAGAUCUGAAGUCAGGUCCUCUUGUCGGCACAGAGCCUGAGGCAGGAAGACCGUGACUGCGAAAGAAACCUGGACAACAUACCAAGACUCUACCUAAAAGGAACUGAAAACAAAGCCAAACCAACUACAAACCAGCCGGGAACGGAAAUACCUGGCCACUGCAAUUGUGCAGAAUAAAGAGGCUGACCUGGGCCACCCACGGCAUCCGCCACAGGUGGCAACCACUGCACUGCUGUACCACCUACCCAUCUCAGCUAUUUCCUCUCGUGGUCCAUGCCCCGUGCCAGGUCCCAGCAGCAGGGCAAUGCAGGGAGCACUGACUUUCCUGCUAGAGUUUUGUGGUGACGUAUGCAAUCUUAAUUUUUAGAAGGUGCUAUCAUAGACUAUAAUGUAAAUGUCACGUGAGUUUUUAAAACUAAGUGUGAAUUUCCCCCAAACCCUCAUUAUUGACACUAGCUGCUUGGUGUGGACCAUCUAGAGCCUCUUUCAGCCAAGGGGAAAAGAUUGCCAAGCAGAGCUGAGGGUCAAUCAGGCCGCCCCGCAGAUUGUGACAGAUUGCAAGGAUCGGAUCUAAGGACUUGAGAGUGAUGCUGCCAGCAGCGAGUCCCAGAGAGUACACGAGCCUCGGGCACAGUGGUGGCAGCACCAGGGCUGACAUUCUUACUUCUGGGCUGGGACAACACCCAAAAAGUCAUUCUGCAAUUAGCACUGACUUAGCAUUUUGAGGUCCACUCUAAACAGUGUGGCAGAAGAGAGUGUAUGACAGGACAAGACUAAGCCAGGCCAAGUAUUCCCUGAGUUGUUCUUAAAGGAAAUGACAUUGAAUGUGAGCGCUGGAGAGAAUCAGGUAGGAAUUGAGAAAGAGGCAUGGAAGAAAAAAAAAAGCCUCAGAUAUGGGAGGCAGCUUGUGCCAAGGCCAGGGAGGAGAAAGUGCUCAGACUUGGCCAUGAACCAGGAAGAGAAGCGAGGCCACACAGGAUGGGUCUGGGCUCCAGAGGCGUUCCGGGCUGCCAGGCUAUGCUGGGGCUUCUGCGUCCAAAGCAGAUCUGCAGAAAGAGGGCUUCUGACAGCUUUAAAUAAGACUCGCAGUCCUGAAACAGGCCACUCAGUCAUAGUGUGGAGAGUGACUAAAGGAAGGACAGUAUGGCUACCGAGCAGUCAAUUAGGGGGCAGAGGUGUUAGCCCAGGAAGGGGACACUCACAGCUCAGGCCAGGGGAGGAUGGGAGGAAGCAGACCGCUUCAGGAGAAAGCUAAGAGGUGCGGUUGCAAGCAGGAAAGGAGGAAGAGGGGAGGAUAGAAUUCCUGGAUUUGUGCCUCAACAGCUGAUGUGACUGCAAGCCUUCUGUUACCACACAAACACCCACAGUAAAUCAACCUGUGAAGAAAAGUGGCUUGUGUUAGCUCAGUUUGGGAAGUUUCAGUCCAUCGCUGCUUGGUCCCAUUCUUUGGAGCCUGUGGCGACAUCUUAUUAAAGAAAGAAAUACAAAUCUAUCUUGGAGAGUUUGUUUGGGAGCCAAGUACGAGUGUCCACAGCUCGGGAAGUCAGAUUUAGUUGAUCCCAACUUCCAUGACCUCAGGCAGCGUCAGUUUAUAACAGAACAAAGAAAAUGAUAACCCAACAUGCUUUUCAAACACACAGCUGACUACAUCAGGUUGGCGUGUUCCGCUGCACGCUGUUACCAAACGCUGGCCUGGUUCAUCUACCGAAAGCUUCAUCCACCACCAACUGGCCUGUUCAUCAGUGUGGCGCUCCCUUCUUUGCAAGUCUAUCAGCACUUAGUCCUAGCAUAUGCUUAGAGACAGACAGCUGGCUAAUGAGACACACACACUUCUUACCCCUGGGACAGGGAUGACCUCGGGCAACUAAGAAACCUCGGCACAAAGCAAGGGUUCAGGAUGGCAGACAGGUAAAGGUUGGGCUGUUGCCAGGAUCCCUGCUUCCUGUCCUCCUCUGCUCAUCAAACCUGUGUCAACAAAGUUGGGCCCUAAUCUCAGAAACCAUUAGAAGGCACUGAGAACAAAUGAAGUAUGAGCCGCACAGCCGAGCAGACAUGUCCACCAUAGCCAGCAUUCAUCUCUUGCUCAGGAAAAAUAUCAGGGAAGAUGGGAGAGUGGAGAGUACAGCACUGUUUGGCGCCCUCCUGGGGAGGUCUGUGCCCAGACGAGGUUGAUUCACACCUUCGAAUGACCAGUCACAUCGGCCUCAGCAUUGGCACAGGGCAGGGGAGAUAGGAUGUGGAGCUGGCGAAGAGGGCUGUUGUUUCUAAAAGACUUAGGACAAUGUCUGAACCACAGUAAACGUAAGUGCUAGAUAGGAUGGUAAAACACCAGCAGCAGCAGCCAUCAUCCUCCCUCAACAGCAGGAGUUCAAGACAGAGGAGCCCAGAUGUGAUCUGUGCACUGACUGCUUUCCCGGGACUCUCUAUUGAUAAGUCAUGUGAACCCUGCCUUCUGUUUCUCUUCCUUUCACGACUUAGGGUACAGAAUCGUUGGGGGAUAGUGGACGACACCAGUAUUGUUUACCAAAUGCCAAGAGUAGUCUCUCCAGACAAGGCUGAUUUUCAGCUAAGGUGACAUCUUCCCUCCGGGAAUGUUCCCUAAGAUGCUGUGAUGGCUAUUUUUGUGCCAGCUUGUCUGGGACAGGAUCUGAAGACACAUGAUCAGAAACUAUUCCAGACUUUUCUGGUAGUAGAAAGUUGGGCUCUGUGGUCAGGGUUUAAGCAUGCGAAGAACCUGGUGUCUGUGAAGGGCCUUGCUGGAUGGGGUGGCUGUUUAAGUCAGCAAAUGCUGGAUAAAACACAUUGCCCUUCCUCUUGCAGGUGAGCCUCAUCUAGACAGCAAAGACCUAAAGAGCACAGAGCUCCGACCUAACCCAAGCCAGAAGGACUCUCCGGCAGACUGUCUGUGACUGGAACUCCAACACCAGCUCCUUGCUGGAUCGCCAGUCCACUUGCAAUGGUUUAGACUUACUAGCUUCCAGAACAUUCUAGGCUAGUUCUGCAGUUUUUGUAUACACACAUUCUACUGGGUAUUCGGCAGAAUCCUGGUGAAUACUCAGACAAAAUUCAGAUGGCUGGGAAAAUACAGAAUGAGGAACCCUAAACACCAACGUAGCCCAACACCCAAAGAAACAAGACCACUGCCUGCCCGACAGCAGGGUCUUUUGCUAGGUUGUGCUUCCACUCUGAUGAUGGCCAAGCACCCACUCAUGACCAGGACGGUGUGGAGCCUGAGGAGUCACAGACCCAGAAAGAGCAUAUUUUGUAUCUUACUGGAGCAGGAAGAAUUUCCUCCUUCUAACAGCCACGGAGUCCCUGUUCCUACCCAGACCUUGUUCUAGCCUUUGGGGAUGACAACAAUGUAAUGGAUUCCAGUGGCUCUACAGCACGGUCUGCUGAGGGCCCAGCAUUAUUCUGUGUAUAAACAAGAUGGAAGAAAAAGUCCUCAAGUUUCGCAGAUGUAGAAAUAGAAAGAAUGUACCUCAUAAUGAAUAAUAUAUGAGAAUGGCAAUAGUAGACAGGUAAGCCAGCCGCAGCACUUCGUGUAUGUUGACUCAUUUAGUGCACACAGCACAGCCUAGAGACAAAAUCCAUUGUCAUCCUACUUUAUGCAUUAAGACUCGUGAUUUCUACAGCCCCGGUAUCCCCAUGGGUGCUCAAAGCUUCCUAAGAAUAGGGCUAAGAUUUGAAACCAAAGCCUGGGGUUUUUCCACGAUCUCAGGAGUGAUACUGUUUAUUCCAAGUCUGUCCAUUGUCCAGCAUCCUGCUUAACAGUCCAUGGCCCAUUCUAGAAAGUUCUGUGACUGUCAGUCAGCAAGCCUGGCUGUGUCUACUCUCAAAUGUAUCAUUUGCAUUUUCUGAGAAAUAAAAUUAAAAUACAUCUAGAGCAGUUUA